rnacentral:misc_RNA from 1 species
AAGUCGUAACAAGGUUUCCGUAGGUGAACCUGCGGAAGGAUCAUUAACACGUAUCCAAACGUUAAACAACCCUGUGCAAUCCCGGUAAAUCAAUGGCGGAAAAGUUUUGAUUCGGGACCUCUGUCCAAUUAGUUACAAUCGAGCUAGGAGCAGUGGCAUGGUUUCCCUAAGCAGUGCAGAAGGAUCCACUGAGUAAGGAUAACGCAUCACGGUUGCUAGAGGUCGAUCACCGGCCGGCAGACAUGUCACAGGGCUAUAUGCCCCUUCGUUCACCCCUUGCCUAAAACUCGCCCACCGGAAACGCUGGGCACAAAAACCGAACAACUGUUAACAAUGGAUAUCUUGGUUCUC